UACGAAGGGGGCUAGCGUUGUUCGGAAUUACUGGGCGUAAAGCGCACGUAGGCGGCUUGGUAAGUUGGGGGUGAAAUUUCGGAGCUUAACUCCGAAACUGCAUUCGAUACUGGCGUGCUUGAGGACUGGAGAGGAGACUGGAAUUCAUGGUGUAGCAGUGAAAUGCGUAGAGAUCAUGAGGAAGACCAGUGGCGAAGGCGGGUCUCUGGACAGUUCCUGACACUGAGGCACGAAGGCCAGGGGAGCAAACGGG
rnacentral:rRNA from 1 species